GAAUGUUAAAUAAAUCUACAUGCAAAUUCACAAAGAGCCCUUUCAUUCUUGGGGCAUACAAAAACGCAGAAUUAGGCCUGAAGUUCUGAGUCCCUUCUACCUUCCAUCGGCUGAAUGAGCUACAGGAAUUCACUUAAUAGGCCUUUGGAAGGAUCCUUCGUGGCAAACCCGACCGUGACCGCCACUGGGCCAGCCUCAGCGGGACCCCUCUGUCCUCCCGACUGCUCCCGUGCCCCAGCUUGUCUGAAUUACGUGAUGAUCUGAGGCCAGUACAGAGCCUUCCCCACGCCCCGUCCCCAGCCUUCCCACCGAGGCUCCCUCCCUGCGGACGUCAGCGAUUCUCACGGAUGUGGCCCUGAAGACCCACGGUCCCGCCUUUGAUCCUGAUAGCGCCUCCUGCUCACGGCCUUGGGAACUGCAGCCCACGCACAACCAGCCACUGCUGUCACCGCGCCAGGACGUUCCUUUCAGGUUCAAGAGGACAGCUUUAAAACCUCAGCAAACAGCUCACCCAAAUGAUUUAUUUUUUGUUUGCUUA
rnacentral:lncRNA from 10 species